UGUAUUUUGCUUUUCUCUUCUCUUAGCAAACCUGUGUGGCAGUUUGUUGAACAGAGAAGGACAACUCUGCUCUGAAAAGAUGGAAUGCUUUUCUGAGAGAUCAGCUUCCAAAGGUGACAAUCUUGGGUCACAGCAGGGAUGCUGACUGCUCAGUCCAGAAUGCUUUUAAACAAGAGGGGAUUCUCAUAGCUAUGAGCCAUCAGUGAUGAAGUAAUGACCACAUCCAGUUGUGCUAUCAGUAAGAUAGGUUGCUCAGCUGCAGGCCAUACCUCUGACAUGCAAGCACACAGGCUGCAUGGCAUAGGCCUUAAGGGAUAUCCAGAAUUUCAGGCACACUGGUAAAUUUGUGCUUCAUGGCAAGUGUGAGAAUCUCGUCUUCAGUCUGCAGACCAACUCCAUGCAAAAAGCAUCUGUUUAUUAGAUGGUGGUGUCCAUCCACUGAUGUGUCAUAAAGUAGGCAAAUGUCAAAGUGUUUGUGUACUGUGUGUGGACAGAGAGUCUUGUGAUAGCCAUCAGCUGAGAGGGAGAAACCAGCUCAGUCCCAGGUUCCACAAAGGUGUAAGAGCUAUUCUUGCUUCUAUAGGCACAGAACACUCAGCUGCUGAGAAUUUGCUGACUCAGAGCUCUGCAAAACCUGACUAAUCAAGCACUAUCCUUAUCCAGCUCAGAAAAAAAGGAGUGAUCAGUUGCACUCAAGACUCACACAAGGUAUACCAUCUACAUACCUGUCUAUAACAACAGAGGCAAAAAUCCUAUGAGACUUCCAAGAAGCUUGGUUCAUCUUUCAUUAGAUCACAGCAGAACUGAACCAUAUCCUCUCAUUGCUAGACAGUUUUUGAACUAGGCUUUUCCCAGUCUCACUGGGGUAUGUAUGUGAGCUGGAAAGCUUCACAAUGCAUUAAGAUUUCAUGAGGGCCUAAUUCUGUUCUCUGUUGCACUGCCCUGAAUCUUCAGUGCGUAGCACUUCUUCUUCUGCGCCACAUAACUGGGAAUACAGUAAGGCUCUGAGUAGCCAGCCUCCACUGAAUGGACCAUCUGAAAACCAGUGCUCUAGCCAUGCUAUUUGUGAUUUUUAUCUUGAACAAACAUAAGUUUAGUGUCAUUACUUCAUUCCUGUUGGAUAAGUGUCUGAGGAACAUUAAAGAUGUUUUGGCUGACAGAGAAAACUUUUCUUUCA